rnacentral:lncRNA from 1 species
AAGGAGCUCCAGCAAGCAGGUCCGCCUACUCUCCUUUCCCCUAAGCUCCUGCAACUACACAAAUCAUCUUCCUGGUAUUUUCUCACUUUUGAUUCACAGACUAUGUAUUGUAGUUAGUUCUGGUGAUUAUCAAUUGAUCUAAGACCACUGUACGUGCAUACUCAGACUUGAGAAGAAUGCACAUAGCCUUGCUGAGAACAUAAUAUUGUUUCGAUGAUUAUCUUGUUUGUGCGCUUGUUUUGAUAAAACACAGGGGUUAUAGAGGAAUUGAAACAUGUUACAUUGAAAUCAGAGAGCAUGUCAUUGUUGCUUAAUUCUGUUAAUCGUGGCUGUCACUGUAUACCUUGAGAUUCAGGUAGAAGCAAUAGAAUGCAGGAAAAAAAUACCUACCUGCAUGUGUUCCUUAGAGAGUUUGUUUUCUUCAUAUAUAUGGCCAUCUCUGUUCUGGAUAUCACACUCGACGACCUCUUUUCAUGGCACAAAACUGAAACUUGUUGAAAUAUAUUGCCCGUCUCCCUCCAUCAGUUCGGAUUUUUGGAUGAGUUGGUCGGUGCACGAAUUCAAUAUGGUAUCAGAGCCAAGAGAUCUUGAGUUCAAGACCCUGCCAACGCAGUAUUAAAUAAAGCGAUUCUGCGGCCUACAUCGAUCCCACGUCUAAGGACUAAAAUAGCCUAGACGUGAGGGGGAGUGUUGAAAUAUAUUGCCUGCCUCCCUCCAUCAGUUUGGACUUUUGGAUGAGUUGGCUGGAGCAUGAAUUCAAUAAAACUACGCCAUGAAUAUAUUUAUUCAGUGAAAUAGCUGAUUCCAGUCAUUCAUCAACUAGCUUUGUUUUAAUCACAGCAAUAAGUCAUGAUAUCUUGAAAUUGCCUGAUUGGUGAUUAUACAUUUUAUAUGAUGUUUUUCACCUGCAAGCUCUGCACUUCUCUCCUUUCAGCUUUAUCUCUCUUGCUUCAUUUCAUGAAUAUAUUCCUCUUCUCAUUCCAUCAUUCAGUCUGUUUGCAACAAAAUCCUCAUUCAGUCUGUUUUUUUAAAUGCUUGGCACAUCCUAAACAAAAUCCUGAUUAAACGAUAGGCUUGGCAUAUCUUUUUUAUCACUAUGGUUGCUUUUGUCCGCAACUGAUUUCUCUAAAUCCUCCAUGUUGUAAUGCAAUUGUUUUGGGCAAUUCCCCAAGGCCUUAUGUUUUAUGUUAUUGGGAACUGCAGGACACCCAGCAAGUGUUUAGGAUCCCACACACGGCAGUUCUUGGCAUGCUCCUAGCACACCUUGGACUAUCACUGGCUCAGUAUGAACGCGUUGUUCAUGAGGACGGCAAGGCCCAUGUUGUAAAUUGUCUGUAAGCGACGUGUUGCCGUAUCUUCUAUGCCUAAAACGUCUGUAAGCGACGUGUUGUCGUAUCUUCUAUGCCUAAACGUCUACGUUAUGCCUAAA